AGAGUUUGAUCAUGGCUCAGAUUGAACGCUGGCGGCAGGCCUAACACAUGCAAGUCGAGCGGUAACACAGAGAGCUUGCUCUCGGGUGACGAGCGGCGGACGGGUGAGUAAUGUCUGGGAAACUGCCUGAUGGAGGGGGAUAACUACUGGAAACGGUAGCUAAUACCGCAUAACGUCGCAAGACCAAAGUGGGGGACCUUCGGGCCUCAUGCCAUCAGAUGUGCCCAGAUGGGAUUAGCUAGUAGGUGGGGUAAUGGCUCACCUAGGCGACGAUCCCUAGCUGGUCUGAGAGGAUGACCAGCCACACUGGAACUGAGACACGGUCCAGACUCCUACGGGAGGCAGCAGUGGGGAAUAUUGCACAAUGGGCGCAAGCCUGAUGCAGCCAUGCCGCGUGUAUGAAGAAGGCCUUCGGGUUGUAAAGUACUUUCAGCGAGGAGGAAGGCGUUAAGGUUAAUAACCUUGGCGAUUGACGUUACUCGCAGAAGAAGCACCGGCUAACUCCGUGCCAGCAGCCGCGGUAAUACGGAGGGUGCAAGCGUUAAUCGGAAUUACUGGGCGUAAAGCGCACGCAGGCGGUCUGUCAAGUCGGAUGUGAAAUCCCCGGGCUCAACCUGGGAACUGCAUUCGAAACUGGCAGGCUAGAGUCUUGUAGAGGGGGGUAGAAUUCCAGGUGUAGCGGUGAAAUGCGUAGAGAUCUGGAGGAAUACCGGUGGCGAAGGCGGCCCCCUGGACAAAGACUGACGCUCAGGUGCGAAAGCGUGGGGAGCAAACAGGAUUAGAUACCCUGGUAGUCCACGCCGUAAACGAUGUCGACUUGGAGGUUGUGCCCUUGAGGCGUGGCUUCCGGAGCUAACGCGUUAAGUCGACCGCCUGGGGAGUACGGCCGCAAGGUUAAAACUCAAAUGAAUUGACGGGGGCCCGCACAAGCGGUGGAGCAUGUGGUUUAAUUCGAUGCAACGCGAAGAACCUUACCUACUCUUGACAUCCAGAGAACUUAGCAGAGAUGCUUUGGUGCCUUCGGGAACUCUGAGACAGGUGCUGCAUGGCUGUCGUCAGCUCGUGUUGUGAAAUGUUGGGUUAAGUCCCGCAACGAGCGCAACCCUUAUCCUUUGUUGCCAGCGAUUCGGUCGGGAACUCAAAGGAGACUGCCAGUGAUAAACUGGAGGAAGGUGGGGAUGACGUCAAGUCAUCAUGGCCCUUACGAGUAGGGCUACACACGUGCUACAAUGGCAUAUACAAAGAGAAGCGACCUCGCGAGAGCAAGCGGACCUCAUAAAGUAUGUCGUAGUCCGGAUUGGAGUCUGCAACUCGACUCCAUGAAGUCGGAAUCGCUAGUAAUCGUAGAUCAGAAUGCUACGGUGAAUACGUUCCCGGGCCUUGUACACACCGCCCGUCACACCAUGGGAGUGGGUUGCAAAAGAAGUAGGUAGCUUAACCUUCGGGAGGGCGCUUACCACUUUGUGAUUCAUGACUGGGGUGAAGUCGUAACAAGGUAACCGUAGGGGAACCUGCGGUUG
rnacentral:rRNA from 1 species